rnacentral:lncRNA from 1 species
ACCAAUUAAACCAUAAGCAUUUUACUGUCAAUAAAAAUGAUUAAAAAGAACCAAAAAAAGUUUAUCAUUUCAAAAAAGACAAGAAAGUAAGAAGGAAAGAGGAAGAAAAAAAAAACAAAACUACGUAUACAUUUCUUUAUCGCUAAUUUACUAUUUUAUCCAGUUAGAAAAAACAACAUUUUCCAUUAGUUAAUGUUUCCAGGUGCCAUCAUCACAAAUCGCGCAGGGCUCUUGCGCGAUAUCAGCAAUUUGAAUCCCGGAAUCAUAAAUCGCGCCUUUGGUCCAAUCAGAUGAAAGCACGCUUUUAGCCCAAUACCAUUUACCAUCAUACCCCGCUGUCACCACAAACCGCAGCUGCAACGAUCCUUCUGGAACCCUACUCGUGUCCCAAACUGCCCCAUAAUUCCUGCUCAUGAAAUUCCAAUUUGCGGACCCCACCUACAAAUUAUCACCAAAAAAAAAAAACUAAUCAUGUCAUAUCGUCUAACAGGUCAACAUUUAACAUACAAUAUUUGUUAGUGCCGUUAAAGUUAGCCCGUUACGAGCCAUCCAGACCAAAGGAAAAUUCAUAUCGACCAGAUCAAAAAAUCAUUGCCAACUAUUUUAAAAUAAAUAAAUACUAAUUUUGACUGGCUUGAAAGUUUAAAUAUACUCGGACCGGACUCUUUUGUCAUAUUAGCAAGUUCGGGCCGAGUCGAUCCAAAAAAUUGAUCUCGCUAGUAAUUUGGCCACGAAGAGUACUUAUAUCUAGACCUAAACCCGUAUGAUGAUAUACUACUUCUAUAUGUAUUAGUGUUUUGUNAAACUUAUAGGAUAAAGUGAUAUCAUUGGACUACAAAACUAACUAUAUUUUGUUAUGUCUAUUAUGUAAUGAAACGUGUGGCAUAAAAUAUAGAAAAAGGACAAGGUAUUAGGCUGCAAGACAAAAAAAAAAUCACUAGUGACAUGAAACUUCGUAUUUUUAUGAUAUGAGUAGUUUCUAAGCAUGAUAUCAUGUCACUAAUAGAAACUAUUUUUUUUGUAAUACUGAGAUUAACAUAUACAACAAAUUUAAAAAUUAGAUUGUAUGGAAACUAUUUCCAGAUAAUGUGGCAUGCAAUAUACUAGAGUACGACUACGAAACAAAUAUUUAUCAUCUACAUUAGGUCAUACAUCAGAUAAGAAAAAUCUAAAUAUUCUCUAAACAAAAGUACUAGAGACAUGAAACAGAAUAAAAUCAAAUCUGGCUGGAACUCAAAGCCCAACUAUUUUGGGCCGAACCAUAAGGAAAGUCGGCCCAAUGGGUAAUCAUAUUUUAUCACCACCAUUUUUAAGAUGAUUUAUACCCAACUCCCAUUUUACACACUAGGACCUUUAAUUUAAAAUAACAUUAUAUGAAAAUGUACUAUUUUGCCAAAUCCCCUAAAUAGUCAUCUUAUUAUUAUUUUAAAUAAAAGACCGUAGUGAAGAAAUGAGGAUUAUGUAAAAGAGAACCAAUUAAACCAUAAGCAUUUUACUGUCAAUAAAAAUGAUUAAAAAGAACCAAAAAAAGUUUAUCAUUUCAAAAAAGACAAGAAAGUAAGAAGGAAAGAGGAAGAAAAAAAAAGAACAAAACUACGUAUACAUUUCUUUAUCGCUAAUUUACUAUUUUAUCCAGUUAGAAAAAACAACAUUUCCAUUAAUUAAUGUUUCCAGGUGCCAUCAUCACAAAUCGCGCAGGGCUCUUGCGCGAUAUCAGCAAUUUGAAUCCCGGAAUCAUAAAUCGCGCCUUUGGUCCAAUCAGAUGGAAGCACGCUUUUAGCCCAAUACCAUUUACCAUCAUACCCCGCUGUCACCACAAACCGCAGCUGCAACGAUCCUUCUGGAACCCUACUCGUGUCCCAAACUGCCCCAUAAUUCCUGCUCAUGAAAUUCCAAUUUGCGGACCCCACCUACAAAAUAUCACCAA